AAGACCUUGCACUUUUGGAGCGGCCGAUGUCUGAUUAGCUAGUUGGUGGGGUAAUGGCCUACCAAAGCUUCGAUCAGUAGCUGGUCUGAGAGGACGGCCAGCCACACUGGGACUGAGACACGGCCCAGACUCCUACGGGAGGCAGCAGUGGGGAAUUUUGGACAAUGGGCGCAAGCCUGAUCCAGCCACGCCGCGUGAGUGAAGAAGGCCUUCGGGUUGUAAAGCUCUUUCAGCCGGGAAGAAAAGGUUGCGACUAAUAAUCGCAAUUCAUGACGGUACCGGAAGAAGAAGCACCGGCUAACUACGUGCCAGCAGCCGCGGUAAUACGUAGGGUACGAGCGUUAAUCGGAAUUACUGGGCGUAAAGGGUGCGCAGGCGGUUUUGUAAGUCAGAUGUGAAAUCCCCGGGCUUAACCUGGGAACU
rnacentral:rRNA from 1 species